rnacentral:tmRNA from 1 species
GGGGCUGAUUCUGGAUUCGACGGGAUUAGCGAAGCCCAAGGUGCACGUCGAGGUGCGGUAGGCCUCGUAAACAAACCGCAAAAAAAUAGUCGCAAACGACGAACAAUACGCUUUAGCAGCUUAAUAACCUGCUCAUAGCCUUCUCUCCCUAGCUUUCGCUCGUAAGACGGGGAUCAAGAGGAGUCAAAUUCAAACGAGAUCGCGUGGACGCCUCCGCUUGAGGAUCGAAGCGUUAAAUUGAAUCAAGCUAGUUUAUCUAUCGCGUGUCUGUCCGCAGUGGGUAAAUGAAAUUAAAGACGAGACUAAACGUGUAGUGCUGAAGGUAGAGUAAUUUCGGACGCGGGUUCAACUCCCGCCAGCUCCACCA